AACGGGGUACGCGACUGGCGAUAGGCGCUGCAUUUAGCCAAUGGAUGCAGCCGCUGACGUGGAAACCAGCAAGAACCUACUUCUUGUGAACCACUGGGAAGCGUGCCGCAGGGGCCCUGCCCCGUGCGUUCAGCCGUUCGCCUGGGCAGCCCUU
rnacentral:ncRNA from 10 species